CACAGUUAUACUCCAACACUGAACAAUAAACUCUCAGUCUGUUUGAUGGUCAUCAUGUUUCAUCCAAACCAAGCAGCUCUGCUCUCCUUAUUAUUUAUGCACGGGGUCUUUGCAGAUGAAGAAGGCAACCACAAGAAUGAAGAGGUGUCCAGAGGAGGCUCUGUCAUUUUUACUUGCAACACAUCAAGAGAAAAUACAAAACAAAUCAACUGGAGCAAAGGCAGAUUUCGUUUUUCUCAUUUAAUGAAAGGAAAUGUGACUGUUUCAAAUUUCACCUCUGACAGACUGACAAUAGAUCUAUCCUCAAAGCUGAUUAUUUCUAAUGCUCAGGAAGAUGAUGAAGGACUAUAUACAUGUAAUUUAACUGAAUCUUCAGGGUCAACGACUUAUCGGUGGAAUUUAACCGUGUCUGACAAACCUGAAGAGGAGAAGUCAUCGGGGUAUUUCCUAUACAUACUCACAGCUGGGAUCGGAGUGGUACUGUGUUGCAUCAUUUCAGCCACAUGCCUCUGUAGGUGAGUAAAACGUUCUCUUUCUAAGCCUGUGAGUAAAUUAGUUUUUUUCUUUCUGCUGCUUUGUUUCAGAAUUAAUUGAUGUGGUUCUAAACACAGACAUCCUUUUUCUGCUGUACACAUUUAAACAUGUCACUUCAUUUCAGUUACAGAUGUGAUCACUCUGA